rnacentral:misc_RNA from 1 species
CUGUUUUGUUCUGCCCAGUUCUGUCACAAUCAUAUAAGCCGUGCUCUAUGGUCACAAUCACAGACUACAUACUAUUGGUCACAAUCAUGUCUUGUUUCUAUGGUCACAAUUCUAUGUUUUGGAGAGAUUCUGGAUUUAAUAUAUUUAAGUGAUUGAUUUGCUGUUGUGCAAAAAUGUUUUCGGGCGGCGACUCCACUGGGUCCCCAAAGUGCACCCAAUGGGCGAUGAAUCCAGCAGCAUAUCAGAACACCGCCAACGACGAGGUGGAUUGGGCAGCUCUGGCCCAGCAAUGGAUUAUUAUGAAAGAGGCAGGCCCACCUCCCAUUCCGGGGGGCCCCGAGGUAAAUCUGCGAAAAGCCCCUCCGCGGCUUUUGUUGACGCACUUGAAUUCCGCCAAGCUUGAUAAGGGCAAGACGCGUUCGGGGGGGCCUCUGCCGCCUGAAGGAGGAGAGGCUGAAAUGGAGAUGGACAAUGAACGGGAAGAGCCUCCCGCUUGGAACCCUGCAGGGUCGGACAAUCCGCCUCCGGCUCCUGGUUCGGAUUCUUGGGCCACAUGGAAUCAACCUCCGAGCCAGGGCUGGAACUGGACUAGCAGCUGGAGCUCGCCCACUGCGGUUCCGCCACCCAUUGUGGUAAAGACGCCUCUGCUGCCUACUCCCAACCGAAUGUUUCCGACAUCUGAUGCCGGCAGCGACAAUGCGGUUCCCUAUGGGGGCUACAACAGUAACUCGCAGUCAUCCAAUAACGACUUCAGCCAUCCGCCAGCCUUCUGGACCAACAUGGCAGUUAGCAAGAUCACCCAAACCGAAAUUAAGCCGCAUAACAAGAGGUACAGCAAGGUGAAUGUGCCGACAAAAGUGACCAUAAUAACGCCCGCGGGUGCGGUGGAGCCCCAUUUGCCUCCUCCCGCGGUUGUUGCUGAGGAGCCUGUAGUUCCCGCACCUUCUGUUCCUGUUCUGGACGCCAACAGGAGGAAACAGUUGCCAGCCUGGAUUAGAGAAGGACUGGAAAAGAUGGAAAGGGACAAGCUGAAGCAAAUGGAAAAGGAAAAAGAGAAGCUCGCCAGAGACGAUUAUACGGAAAAGGUGAAGCUCGAAGAAAAGGAAGCAAUGGAAAUUUUGAAGAGCACAAUCCAAGAAAAAAACCUGCUUAAAAAAAGCCGCUUUGAAAGUGACCACGAACAAUCAGACGACGAGCCUCCAAAGCGGACCGUCCGAAAGGUGUCACCCCCGCCCCCAGUUCCCCUCUCCCAAGACGAACUGAUGAUGAAAGUGCGCAAAACAAUGACGGAAAUCCUGCUGAAAGUGACCAACCAACUGAUCGAGCAGGCCUGCAAAGAGGAACGGCAACGGUAUAUUAAAAAACGCAGAGCUUCCGAUGAGCUAGCAUCAGCACCGAGUGGUGCCGCCAUUAAAGCCAAACUCGGUCUGGGAGUCUAUGCGGAUGACUCAACAAGCAGUGAGGACUCUGGGAGCGAAGACCGGCGCGAUGAGAGCUCUGAUUCGGAAAGCGAACUCAAAGAAUCGAUUAAAAAGCGGCAGGCGGCCUUUUCGAAAACUGAGCAGGAGAUCAAAGAGCGACUGGCCGAUGUGGAGCGCAAAAAAGAGUCUAAACCCAAAAGUCCGAGCCACAGCAGUAGAUCAUCGAGCGCGGACGCACGCGAAAUAGAUUCACAGGCAAUGCCAAGGAGGAGGAGAUUCCCUCGAGUAACAAGGCGAAGCCAAAGCGCCGCUCCUCUUCCAGCUCUAGAGCCUCUUCCCGAUCCAGGAGCCCUGCGAGAGGUCGCAAGACCUCUCGUUACUCGCCGAAGAAGCGCUCCAGGUCGCUAAGUACCGUUAAAAGCUCGCGCAGGGGCAGGUCGAAAGAAAGUUACCGAAGAGACAGCAUUGACUCAAAGAAGCGUGGCAGACGUUCCAGAUCAGGCUCCCGCUACUCAAAGCGCUCUAAAAGGAGUCGUUCGCGCUCAAGGUCGUACUCAAAAAUGGGGCGGCGAUUACGCCGCACCAAAUCACGUAGCAGAUCGCGCGAUCGACCACAUCGCUCGCAUAAAUCAACCUUAUCAAGAUCGCACGACGCCAGGAAACGCUCCAGACGGUCCAGAUCGCGCUCAUGCAAAAAGUCGCCGUCGCGCUCCAAGCGACGCUCUUCCAGAUCAUCCAGUCGCGGACGCCGCUCGCAUCGACGCUGAAUACCCGAAGUAUCCAAGAUUAUAGGUUGGGUUGUUUCCAGAGUCGGCACUGCAGAGGAUUGCUUUUU